rnacentral:rRNA from 1 species
UACGUAGGGCGCGAGCGUUGUCCGGAAUUAUUGGGCGUAAAGAGCUCGUAGGCGGUUUGUCGCGUCUGCUGUGAAAACCUAAGGCUCAACCUUGGGCUUGCAGUGGGUACGGGCAGACUAGAGUGCGGUAGGGGUGACUGGAAUUCCUGGUGUAGCGGUGGAAUGCGCAGAUAUCAGGAGGAACACCGAUGGCGAAGGCAGGUCACUGGGCCGCAACUGACGCUGAGGAGCGAAAGCAUGGGGAGCGAACAGG